CCUCUUUUAGGAUUGGCUAUCCUUUCAUAUCCAUAAGAUAAUUAAAACGAAGGGGAUUUUUUUAACUUUUUUUUUUAAUCAGCCAGUGGUUAAUGCAACAGUUUAGCAGAUGCUUUACUAUUUUAAAAAAAAAAAAUAUCCUCUAAAAUAACCGGAUCUUCUCAAGCCAGGGGACACCAAGAAGACCCGCAAAUGGGUUUGCUCCGGCUUGCGGAAUGUUUAAAAACUCGGCACUUCGUUCCCCUCGAAUCAGUGGUGUGGCCAAUAUCGGUUUUCUGCCAGUUUAACUAGCCUGUUUGUGAAGCAUUCCUUGAUAACGUUAUUGUCCCAGUAUCUACCUUCUACUACUCAAACCUUGGUCACCAGAAAUCUGGAGGAAGGCUGGCCAUCUUGGAUGCCUCUGAAUCAGGCAAGAAAAGGCACAGAGUAACUGCUCCAUUUGACUAAUUGAUUUUGGACUAGGGUCUCAAUUUUAGGGAAGGUACAGUCUAACGGUCCCCUGGGAAAUCUUUUUCUCUAACUCAACUGUUAACAGAGAUAGCAAAUCCUCAUCUAAGUCCCCAUCAUUCCUGCAGCCUGGGCACCAGAAUCUGCAUCUCUGGGAGUCAACCAUAUUUUUAAAAAGAGGUUUUAGUUAUUCUAGACCAAUUGUCUUCAUUCCAAUUCUUCUGGUAAACUGUAUAAUUGUUGUUCUCUUUCCCCCAAAAUAAUCAGGCACAAAUUCUUAUCUGCGCCCAUAUUACUUGUCUUUCAGUUCACCUACAUACAUGGAAGGGACUAAAAAGGUGUUGAAAAAGGCUGGACAUUACUUUGUAAGAGUUUGGUCUUUGUGUGAUACUAUUUCUUUAAAAAAAAAUCAGUCAGACUCAUCUUGUAUGUUUUGAAGAAAAGCUGGAACUUGUUUUGUGGGAGAAAAUAGAGCUCCUUUUCCUAUAUUUAUGAUUCAAAGCAAAGCACUGCCUCUAUCUUAUGUUUUGUGCUGGAUAAUUCAAAAUAAACUGGACUAUAAAGAGGAAUCAAAAGAAUCAGGCCAGAUGGACCAUAAAUUUAUGUUUUGUGUUGACGGAAUUAUAUCUCAAUUUCCUUUGUCAUCUUUUUUCAAAUCUAAUUUCACAUUUUCCAAAUGGUCACAUGAGAAACAACUUUGACCCUGCUUUCAAGCUUCCAUAAUGUCUUAGGAUACGGCACACUUUCAGAAACUUCUGAGAGCAAGCACAAAACUGAGGGAUUGUGUGGAGAACAUAAAAUGUUCUGAAAACAGAUGGGACACUUGAUUUUCAGGCCUCAGAAACAUUGUUCAGGUGACAUGGAACCACUCGGCUGGUGGCUAGUUGCAAACAAAUUAAAUCCUUCUCUGUCUUUAUCUCUGUCUCACUCUGUCUCUUUCCUUCUCUCUUUCCUCUCCCCCCCCCCACUCAAAUUAAAUUAAGAGCUACUAAAUGCCAACAUUACAGUUUUAAGACUUUUAGGGAAUAUGAAACAAUGAAAACUUUACUCUGAAGAAAAGGUAGUUAACAUCUCUACACUGAGCUGUUGCAUGUGUUUCUCUGUCCUUUUUUAUGGAAAUAAUUAUAGGUAAAAAUUAAUUUAGAUCGUUACCUUUUUUACUAUCACUGUAAGAAUUAGACUUUUUUUUUUUUAAGAUGGAGGUCAUUUAUUUAACUGGCAUUAGGUUAUCCCAUUUUAAGUAAGAUAGCUUGUUCUCUAUAUUUGGAGGGUGGGAUGGAUAUAUAUUAACAGAAACAAGGACUAGAGUUAGGUAAGUUAUGUAACUGCUUAGGGUUCAAUAAACAAGAAGAGCAUAAAGAGGAAUGCUAUUUUAUAUGACUUUUAAAAUGCAUAUAAUUUUAAUACCAGAAAAUUUCACUGCCGACAACACCUGGAUUUUUAUUCUGUGUUGUCGUCUCCUGCGCUAAAGACUUAAGCUCUACGAUCAACUGUUACAUGUAGAGGGCGCAGUUUUCAAACCAAGAUUUACUACUGACGGGGAGAAGUGAUUUUUGUAAGAUACUCAGGUCCCACAAAUAUCUAAACAUAGUUCUGAGUGGGAGUACAUUGGAGAUAGGGGUGGGUAAGACUGAGGAUAAGAGAAGAAAGGCUCUCUCUCCUCUUUCCCCCAAUGUUCUGACUUGUCCUGGCAGAUGGAGCUUUCCAUGCCGGCGUCAGUGGCGGUGACAGACUGAGGGCAGAUGCAGUUCCUUCGAUUAAUUUCUAUUCCCGAAACUUUAAACUCAUUAUAGGAGUCAUCGAUUACUUGAGAAUUUCAAUUCCUUUCCUUCAGAUUAUCUCUGAGCUCUGUCUUGACUCCCAUUGUGCCUUCCUGUGUUUGUAUUUGCAGAGUCCAGUCUGUCAUAGAACAAGAGGCUGAGUGUAUCAAAGUGAGAAGCAAUGAAUUCAUUUUUUAAAAUGAAAAAAAAAAACCAACAGAGAAUUAUCUUAAUAUUAAUUAUCCUUCUGAAGAUUUCUACUUUCUAUGAAUGCUAAAAAUUAGAGUACUAGAUAAUCCUAAAUAUAAACUUUUAUUGGAGAGAGAACUUUUUAAGAGACAAGGGAGAAAUACCUCAAUUUUUUUUUUUUUUUUUUUUUUUUUUUUGCGUGUGGUAGGGAAAAUAAGGCUUGUGGUGACCAGAGAGAACGUGUCUACACUGACUUUAGCAAGGGGUGAGCCAUCUAAUCUUCUCUACACUUCUGUGGGACUAUAACGCAUGAAAAAGUAUUGAAGUGAACUGACCUUUUUGUUACUUAGACCUUUCAAGGGCUUGUCCACUCUGGUUGAAGCACAACACCAGCAAGGGCAACAUUUACCUCCUGUCAGGAGGAAACCACUCGAAGUUUGAUUGAGGAAGUAGUUGUGAUUUUGCAAACACACCGUUUAUCUGUCGAAAGUAGCGGAUUUCAAUUAGAUUGCGGCGAAGACUCCAUGACAAUAUUCAUUUACAAGAGAAGUGCACCUUAAAGGAAGGAGCUUUGCAGUAAUCUGAAUAACGGAGUCAACUUGCUUCUGAAUACCGAAUUUAAGGUCGCAUUUACAUUUCUAACUCCCAGCAUUGCCUGCCAUCCUGGGGAAUAGUGUUUUGCAGCCUUCUUUGUAACUCCACGUGGAUGGGAUUUCUACAGGAUGGUUUUUUUCCCCCCAAACAUUUUUUUCCCCUUGCAAGUUAUAGGGGACUUCUUGUACAGAAAAACGACUUUAGACAGGGUUGUUAGGUUUCAAGUUAACAAAAAGAAACACUUUUAUUGUCAAUAUUAAUGGAAAAACUCGAUUUUUUACGAGGUUUGGGUUUAGCAGCGUGCAUAGAUCAAAAGCAGCCUGGUUUGAUUUUCAAAUAUUCUCUGGAGCUUAGACAAUUACCUGUAAUUUUGCUUCCAACGACACAACACAAAAAUGUUAGUUAUGUAAAUGUUACUGCCAUGGGGGGUGGGGGUGUGUGAGAAUGGAGCAGGCAGAACUCUCUACCUGUUUCUGCAACGUCAGAUUCUAAUAAAUUUUUUCCAUAGAACCUGAGUUCAGUUUUUUAAGGCAUCCUUCUAAUAUAGAUAAUCUUGUGAUCGGUUUAUUGACAAUUGCACCCUACUCCUUACUCUGUAGCUGUAUACAUCCCACUAUCAGCACAUAUAUCCAAAGGUAAUGAAUCUGGCUGAGUGAGGUCUUUUUUGGUAAUUUGGAUACACCAAGUCUCCAGUUAAUGACAUAUAAUCAGCCUUUGGGUCAUUUGGUCAUUCUCUUAUUACAAACCCCUCCUGCUCUCUCUGAUCUCCUUUCAAACUAAAUUUCACACAAACAAAUAAAGCAAGACAGGGACAAGUCCUUUAAAAAAGGGAGAAUAUUAGAAACGCCUGAUACACAACUCCAAACACGGAAAGGAAAACUCAAAGAGAAUAGGAAAGAACAUCUUAUCAAAAAGAGCAUGUUGUGUACAAAACAUUAAAAGAAAAUGCUCUGGUUUAUGUUAAAGUGACAGAAAAUUAAAAUAAAAAUAAUUGCAAACAGAAAAGUCAUAAUAUAAACAGAGAAGGCAGAAUGCUGGCUAGAAAUGCGUGAGGAGGAUAAUUUGUUGUUUUAGAUUAUGUAUCUGAAAUGUGAUUGGUGAGGCGUUGCUUUGUUCCAUUUUCCAAAGAGUGAGAGAGGGAAAAAAAAGAGAUGGCUUUCUCUUUAGUGCGUGUGUGAGCCCGCACAAGUUAACACAGGCCAAGACCCCAAGGAAAGAAAAAGUGACCCAGCUGUUCCUGCAUUACAAAGCCUUCGUCUCUCCCUCCCUGCGCCCCCCCCCCCCCCAGCGAAAGAAUUAGUUAUAUAAAAAUGCAUAAUUCUUUGGAGGAGUACACCAACUCAAUCUCAGAUUUUUCUGCUUGAAGUUCCUAAGAUUAUAUUAUCCUGGAGAUCUUAAGUUUGAUCCUGUCUGAGGCCAUCACUUACCUAAGGUCCCCACUUUUCUUUCUAUGAAGUUCCUAACUCUAGAAAUAGUGUAUUUCAAGCUGUCUAGUACACAUUUAGAAAAGAAGACCAUUGACUUUUGCCACCAUCUUAUCCUAGUAACUAUGCGACCAGUAUUUGGUCUAGCUGAAAACAAUUCUACAUUCAAAAACUCCAAAGAUAAGUUAACUGUCCUCAAUUCCUCUCUAAAUCCUGUCUCAUUUCCUUGGAUCCUCUUCUCACCUUUAGACAGCUGUUGCCCCAUAUACAAACUUCUGAAAAGUACAGUGGAGCUGAGAAGAUAGCUUGAGAAGCAACUGGAUAAAUCUCCCCAAACAAGAUGGAAAAGUCUUGAAUGAGACCAUUUGAGUAUAACCCCAUGUAUAGGCGUGUAACCCUUUUUGGUCCAUGGGCAAGUUAAGCAGCCCUAUGAUUUUAGCUGACUCAUGAAUGCAGUUUAGCCUACAUUUAAAAGUUUGGCCAAAAUAUUCUUAGCUUCCAGAGCCGACUUAUUAAAAUAUUUAAGCCCUCUGUUUAUAAACACUGAUCACUUGGGACUAUGCAUUAAAAUCACCUCCUUCUUGUUGGAUCCACUGAAAAAAUGGGUGUUGGACCUGACUAGGUUUUACUGCCAUUUCUUUUUUGGGACCACUGAGUCCAGCUGACUUUCCUUUUUUAAUUUCAUGAGCCGGAAUGAACCAGAAUUCCCGCCUUUAAUUUCUACCAUCCUCAAUUCUUUCUUUCUCCAUAUUCACAAGAGAAAUGCUAGAUGAAUUGACAGGCAGAUUUAGGAGGGAAUAAGAAAGGUAGAGAAAGAGAGGCAUAGAGAAGCAGAGACAGAGACAAACAAUUUGAGGAGGGAGAUACAAGUAGGCAAAGAAAGGAAAAAGUAAGACAAGAACCACAUGGGGAAGGGAAAACGACAGAGAAGUAGAGAAGGUCUGAGACUUAGAAUCGCACGCAUCUUUUUUGGGGGGCGGGAGCGGGGGAAGACUUUCAACUCUCACCAGCAAAGCACACCCAGAGCUUUUUCCAGAGGAGUCAGUGUUGAGUACCCUCAUGUUAGAUCUCCUGCCCUAACCGUUACCCUGUUUUGCCCUAGCCAUUUGGGCAUACAAGACUAGGCUCGAUGGUCUUUUGAUUUCUCUCUCUGCCGGGCCAAAAAAGAGAAAAGGACAAUGACAAAGAUAGAGGGGUUUAGUCUCCAGAUUAGAUUUGCAACCAUUUGGUUGGUAUAUCUAUUAUAGAGCAUUUGAUUAAAGUGCUUAAGACAUCUUUAGUCCCUCCUGAUUUGAUUGCAGUCCAUUUUCACCCUGCCCCCACCGGCCCUGAAAAAAAUUUGAUGGUACAUCGACCCAUCAGUCUCAAGUCCUGACUUCACCAGUUAGUUGUAUGAGGAAGAGGGAUGAGGUGGCCCUCAGAACAUCCUUAGCUGCCGAGAGAACUUGCCAAGGAAGGAAGAAUUCAGUAUACAAAUAAAUCCACACACUGUCGCUCGGAUUUAGACCUGCGGAUUCCCCGCCAAUCCCAUAUCAUUUAGGUUUUGGGACCCUUUUUUGUCCUGAUGAAAUUCUCAUUUUUGCCACGGAGGAGCCCCUUUUUCUUUCUACCAGGCCCGCGGGGGGUGGGGAGGGAAGGAAGGGGGCGGAGAAAUCCUUUUUCCUCUUCUGCUUUCAAGUUUUUUUUUUUUUUGUUGUUUUUUUUUUUAAGCAGGGGGUGGGUAGGAAGGGGUUAACUAUUUCUCCCUCCGCCUCUUUGGCUCUAGCUGCACCCCCUCGAAUGCCACUGCUUUCCUCUAGAGGUCUCAUUAGGGAAACCCUCACCGCUAUUUUCAACAUUUCCUCAAUCAAGUGCCUUUAAAUAUAGCUGCACAAACAAAUUGGCGGCAAAAAGCGUAGAUCUUGUCACGAUUGAGACCAAUCCAAUAUUUCAGCCUUGUUUGCUUUGUAAUUACUGGUUGGUUUGUGGCUCCGGUGCCACUGGGGCAAAUCGGCCGAGGGCCCAGUAGCAGCGGGAAGAGCUUCGGUUGCCCCAGAGAGGACUGACUGAUUGCCCUGGUGCCCACCCCCUUAGACUUCGGGCGGAUGCAAGAGGGGGUGAUGAUCUCCCUGAGAGCGAGGGGGGUUGUGUAUGGUAGGGACACUCGUCCUCAUUUGUGAAGAAAUCCACUGGACUUUAACCUCCCCCCCCCCCCCCCCAAGCCCAACCUUUCCUCCCUCUCCCCAAGAAAACCUUUUUUCCUAGCCAUUCUAAUAUUCUAAUACAUUCGUAUUGGUCUUGUUUCCCCCCUUUGGAUUUUGGCAGUGGGGGUUCUUUCUUCCUUCUCCCUCCCCAGUCUAAUCUUUACAGGAUUCUGCCCCCCCCAACUGUUGGUAUGAUUUGUUUUAUUUUCCACAGCUGCUUAUUCUUGUUUGACUUUUUGUCCAAAGCCACUUUAAAUCUGCUGCAGGAAGAAUAAAACUCGCAGCUCUUUGGAUGGGUUUCUGCAUGCAUGUGGCUGCCCCUGGCCCACUUUAAUUCCUGCCUAAUAGCUCUUCUGUAUAAAUCAGACCUGGGAUAUGUUUGGUCACUGUGCAAGCAGCCGCUAGUUUGUAUCAGCAAAACAGUAGUUAACUCAAAUCAUGUCCUAAGCCUUAUAUUUCACAGACAAUUAAACCUUGGCUGCUAUUUAACAAAGCUGUAAUAUUUAUUCUGUUCUAUUCUGAAGACCAUUUUUAAAGUCCAAAGCAAAUACUACAUUUCAAGAAGAAAAUAUAGUAAUAAAUCUCUUUUUAUGGAUUCUCUCUCCAUAAGAGGAAAACAAAAUGAUUUAACUCCGCCCACUCCAGCUGAAGUUAUAAAGAUAAUUAUCAAUGAACACACUUUAUAUUCAAAUGGAAUUAAUAUUGAAUAGGACCUGUAUGCAUGUUAUAUUUUAUUUCUUUGCAAGUGCUCUUAUCAUUUCUGAGUCUCAUGUAGAUAGAUAUUCUAAAGUUUAUCAUGUCUGAGCUAUGAGUUUUUUUACAUAGGGUACAGGGAUAGAGGGGGAUGAACAUUGUUAUAGGGAUGAUUAUUUCAGGAUCACUUUCUAAUAGACAUACUUAUUUCAAAGGUAGGUAUUUUUUAAAAUAGGAAUCUUUAGAGUAUUUCCUUAUUUUUUUAUUUUUAAUUUUUUGCCAUUUAACUUAAGAAUCAGAAAAGUGUGGAUGAAACAUAGUAAAACCACAGAAGAAGAAAAUGGAACCAUUAAUGAGAAGAAAUCCUAUUAUUUUAGUCAAUAGUAAAUUAUUUUAUUUCAUGGUUUUAUUCCCCCCCCAAAAAAAAGUUUUAGAAAUUCUAGCUAGUUACUUCUCAAUAAUUUUGCAUUCUUCCUGUCUUAUUUGGAUUGUUGUUUAAACAGUUUGAAUUUGAUGCACAUUUCAUAAAUUGUAGUUGUCAAAACUUCAAGGGAAUAAAUUAUAAUUAUUAGUAGAAUACAGAGAUAAGCCUGGCUGGCUGACCUCUCAUAUUUUCUAUGCCAUCUUCUUAUAGGUUGGUGGCACUAGUAUUUAGGGAAAGGGGAAGCAACAACUUCAAGAGAUGAUUUUUUUUUCACGAGAAUUUUCUUUACUCAAGAGUUGUUCUGGAAUAUUAUUAAAAAUUAAAAAAAAUUUGAGUGUAAUUUUCAUUGUGCUAAUCUGUUUAGUAUUAUAUUCUGAAUUUCUUAACUAUUAAAAUGCUUUGCCAUAUUACUUUCAAAUGAAGGAUCUUAGAUAAUUAUGAAAAUUUUGAUGUUAAUGCUUUGUUAAGUGAAAAACGGGAAAUGAUGUAUUGGAAUCUUUAAAAUAUCUUUAUGCUUUUAUACACUAGGAAAAACACACACACAUGAUUAUGGUUGGGGAUGUGUAUGCCAUUCCUCUGAAGUUGCUCUACAAGAAUAUAAAUAUAUUUACUCUUUAAAAAAAGGGGGGCAGUUUUCAAUUAUUUUUUAACAGAAAACUUUCAAUACAACACUGUGUUUAGUAAUGCCAUAAACCACAGCCACUUUCUACUGACAGCUACAAGAUUUUUCUUCAUUACUCUUCAUUACUCCGUUUGCAAACGAAGAUAGAGUGCCAUUCUAAAACAUCAAAAUAGGCAGAGUAACCAUUAUAUUUUACAUAUUCAUUUAUAUAGGUUAAUGCUCUUACAAUGAAAAACAUAUGCUGAGCAUGUAAAUGCUCCUUUUAGAAAUGCUUUUUUCGAUGCACAAUUAUUAUUAUUUUAAAAAUCAACUCUCAGUUUUCAUGCCACAAUUUUUUACUUUAAACAAGCAUUGCAUUGUUUUAAACAGUAGCUACUGGAACAAUACUGCCCUUAGUGUUUUAGCUUUUCCAACAACAAUUGGAAUUGGAUAAAUGCUUUCAGCUGGGAGCACUUUCCUAAUACCUUUGUAGGUAAUAGGUUUCCCAGUUUGUGCUGGGUGACAAAAACACAGUGCACCAGAUAGGCCUCCCUGUCCUCUGCAAAGACUGUCAGGAAGUUGAUCAUGGCAUAAAAUGGAGCCUUUCUAUGAGAGUAGGGUAUUUCUUUGUGACCCUGUUUCUUAUUUUGUUUAAAAAAAUGAAUUAACAGAAACAAAACUAAUGUUUCUUGAGGUAUAGCUACCAAGUGAUGACUUAAAAAGGGAUGGAAAAAAGAAAAUGGGGUGGGGUGGAGAUAUAUGGCGAAACAUAAGAGGAAACCGAGGAAAUUUGGUUCAUCAGUGUCUAGACAUGGAAAAACAGGAGAAUGACAGCUUGGUUCUAAUCAUCUGAUCUGAUAAAUGACUUAUUUUUUUUCUUGCCAAUAACUCAGUUAUUUCUAUUAAUUUCACUAUACAUAAAAAGUAUAAUCAGAGGGGGUAAAGACUAAUUCAAAGAUAGCUGUAAUCUUGAAAGACUUCUAAAAGCAGGAAAAAACCCAAGUAUGUGAUCUCAACAUUAUAUUUUUAGAAGGAUAAUGUAUGUUUUAUUAAACAAAUUUCCUUUAUAAUGUCAUUUAUAGAGUCGAACAAGAUAUAUCAAAAAGUAUUGUGCUUUUCCAAACUGUGAUUAAACUUGAAUAAUCAAAUAUUUCCAUAAAGACCAGCUAGCUGAAAAAAAAGUGAGAAAACUUCUUUUAGCAAGAAAUUCAGCUACUGUUAUUAAGACAAAUUAGGCAAAGCAGAAAAUUGCCUUCAAGUAUAUCUAAUAACUUCUUUUUAACUCCAUUGUUUUUUUCUUUUUCUUUAUAUAUCUAAUACUUAAUAGUGUAAUGCCUGCCAUAUAGUGAGCAUUUAACAAAUGUUUAUUGAUUGAUGUGCUACCGUUGUAUGCUAUAUGUGUAUUAUGCUUUUAAUGUAAUUUCCAUUUUAUUUUUCUUCAACUAAUAAUCAUUUAUUUUCUCUCCUACACAUUUGUCAAAUCAAACAACUUCCCACAAUGACCAUGUUCAGAAAUGUAUGCUUCAUCUUGUAUCUUGAGUCUAUUAUCUUUUGUCAGGAGAUGGGUUCUGAUUUUAAAAUAAAGAUUAUUCCAGUUUUCAAGUUUAAUCAACUUUGUUUUUCUAUGUAUAUGGAAAUAUUUAUAAGUACAGAAUAAAAAAAGAAAGAAAAUAAAAAAGAGCAAAGAUUAUUUUGAUAGCUUUCAAAUGAUUUUUUUCUAAUAAGAAGCUUAUCAGGUACAUAUUUCUCUUUGAUGACAAGAAUCACAUAUUGUGUUUAUCAGUUGAUAUGAUUAGCUAUUUUAUUGUAGCUUCUCAGUUGUAGCUCAGAGAAAAGGCAGUGUGUAUAAUGGAAAGAACCUAAUGUUUGGAUUCAGAGUACAUGGCUUUAGCUACCUGUAUUACCUUGGGCAAGUCAACCUGACUAACCCUGCUUGAAUUUUCUCAUCUGUAAAAGAGGGUACUGGAAUUCAUGUUCUUCUGAUUAUAAAUUCUGUAUUACACACACACACACAUAUACAUAAAUAUACACAUACACAUAUAUUUCAGAAACACCAAAAUAAAAUUGGCAGAACCAGGAAAACAAUAAACAAAAUGAGUAUAAUAAUACAAAUGGAAAUAACUCAAAAGUAUUGGGUUUUGUGUAUUUCUGAUGGCCAAACUUGCCUCUGGAGAAGAACUGGGAAAAUAUAUCUCCUUCCCUUUAUCAUAGAAGUGGUGGUGGUUGGGACUAUAAAUAUGGAACAUUACAUACAUUGUCAGAUGAUGUCUGUGUUUUGGGUGAUUUUCUUGAGCUGUUUUCUAAUUUUUUAAACGACAGACGAUCAUCUAGGAAAGAAAGGGGAGGAGGAGUGCAUUCAGAAACAGAUAUAUAAAAAAGGGCUUUAAUAAAAGUUCAUCUUAAAAAUAAUAAAGGAAGAACUCAGUUAUUGUGUAUAUAGAGGAAAGGGAGGAAAUAAAAUUUAUCAGUAGGAAGGCAGGAAUGAUGACAAACUUGCUUUUAAUUUUGAAUUCAUGAUUAUUUGGAUUGUAAUUUGUAUUUUUUUUUGAAAGAGAGAUCAAGUUUGGACCUGUGUUUUCAUCACUGUAUAAAACUUCUUCUAUGAAAGUAGAUUCAUUACAGCCUAAUUUAUAGCCAAGAGAGUUGUUGGGAAUGGGAUAAGGUUGGGAACUGAGAGGGUAAGUGAUUUGCCCAUGAUCACACAGUAAUAUUACACCAGGGGCAAGGCUUGGAUCUUCAUCUUCCUUACUUGAACAACAACUUUCUCCAGUACUACAUACAACCUCUUCAUGGUAUUGAAAUGUAUAAUUACUUGUUCUUGACAAACUUUGUAAUUAGUAAUACCUUAUAAAGCAUAGAUUGAGAAAUUUAUAAGUGGUUUGACUAAGAAUUCAGUAGUUUUAAAUUUCUGUUUUAUGUAUACAUAUUUAUUAAUAAUCACAGUAAAAACUUUAUUCUCAAAAACAUUGUUUUUAUGUAUUUAUUUGACUUAAUUCUCUCUCACUAUCCCCAACCAACAUCAUUUUACACUUGCUAAUGUUUGCUUAAAAAAAUUAACAGCAAUAAACUUUUGCUACCCAAUGUGGAAGGCUAUUUCUAAAACACCAAACCUUUCC
rnacentral:lncRNA from 1 species